UGACAGAAAUCUUUAUUGCAAACUGGGGGACACCAUUAGCUACAGUGGCCUCCUGGGAUCACCAUUUGCAAUAUAAGCCCAGUGACUUAAAGGAGAGAGUGGAGAGGAAUCAUGGUAAGGCUUGUAACUCCAAGGAUGAAGAACAACCAGGGCUUGGGGAUGGGUGAAGAAUCUUCUGAAGAAGUGACCUGGCUACUCUUAUAAAGUGUCAGGUGUCAUGGGUUCAGCCAUCUCACACUAUUUAAAGUGGGGGACCCGUCCUUCACUGAUGGAGUGGACAGGUGAUCAGAGAACCAUCCCACCAAGAGAAAGACCCUCUUGAGGCCCUCCAUCUCUGCAUGUCAGGUUCACAGCUGUGAGACAGAGCAUAGAACCUGUGUCAGGUCACAGGAGAGUGAUCCCCCAACACUUUGGGCCAUGUUCCAACCCUGCCUGCCCCAAUUCCCAUUGUGUAAAAUCCAUCUGCAACCUAUGCCAGCCUUCCAGAAUGCAGAGGGACCCUGGGAAGAGCUGGAGAAGAGAAGAGGAAGAAGGAUGGGAGACGGAAGAUUCUCAGUUGGAAAAAAAAACAGCAGCAAGAAACUUUGUUUACCUUGUUGGUCAGAUUAAAUUUCUGCCACCAAAAGAAAUCGAGAUUGAAAAGCUAAGUUUAAUUAUGGAGAAAAUAAAGUUACAUUUUUUUUUGCACAACAAAGUCAUUGACUAUGAAAUUUAUAAGCAUCAUAUGAAACAGACAAUCUUAUGAAACUUACCAAGGAUGUUUCCAGCAACCCCUUGUUUAGGGAACAGAGUAAAGGGGAGAAAAGGUAGCAUUUUCAAAUCUCAAGAAAGUGUUUUAUGUCAGAAUUCAAUUUGUCCCAGAGCACAGCUGUCAAGAGCUUUGUAAAUCUAGGCCUCUAGGAGGAGAGGGCUAAAGCACUUUCAGGAUAAAGGCUAGAAGCCUAAGGCCCUGAUCAUUUGGGCAAUCCUUGUUAUUGCAUUUGUUGUUCCAUUCUCUGACACUUCUAAAAGGCUGUGGAAUCUCCAGAUGUGUUCAUAAAAUAGUGGUAGCAAUUAUUCAUUGCUUCUAGGAAAGGGAAAUGGAUAUGUUACCAACAAAGCCAGUCCCCAUACAAAUGGAGUCUUUCCCCGUUUAGUGCUGUGAAGCCAAUAUACAAAACCAAAAGUGAGUGUCAAGUAGUGCAGGCUUUAUUCCAUGGCCACUGUAUUAGUCAGGGUUCUCUUAGAGGGACAGAACUAAUAGGAUAGAUGAUAGAUAGAUGAUA